CACGAACCUAACAUCACUACCACCGUAUGCUUUACAGAUCGCGCCCUACAUGCGUUGAAUUUUAGUUACGACGGCGUCUGACUCAUUUGACAGUUUAUAAAUAUACUCAAAGCCUAAAUGGAUUUAUGAUUCAGAAUUGCAUUUUCACUGCAAUCUCCGGACCGGCUUAGAAAAACAUACACGAACACGAGGAAAAAAACCACGCGCAUUGCACUGUAGCGUUUCCCUGCUUCGUGUGAGGGAGCGCUAAAACCUGAUUGAUCGUCACUUUAAGCUCAAAUGUGCGGCCAAGGGAGGGCAGAUGGCACUCUUUUACGAUCUGAUGCGUUGCUGGCAAGCAUUUCCGUAGUGUGGUUUUACUGCAGCAUGACAGAGAUUGCCUGAUUCGUCUGUCCUAAUUUCAAGCCAGACACAUAUUAUUUCAUACAGCCAACGCAGACGCAUGCACGCGUUAAACUAUCUUCUGUAUUUCUUGAGGCAUGAGAUCCUCGUUCAGUGAUACAACACGUUCAAUUGGAUGCAGUCGUUAUAGUAAAGCUGUGCAUGUGUUAAAGUUAUCCGUGGACGAUUCGCGGUUUAUACUACAUGGUGAUAAGGACUUUACCCGAGACAAGGAUGUCGAAACGGCUUCGAAAUAGCGAAGUUUGUGCGGAUUGCAGCAGUUCGGAUCCUCACUGGGCGUCUGUAAACAGAGGAGUUCUCAUAUGCGACGAGUGCUGCGGCGUUCACCGCAGUCUGGGUCGCCACAAUUCGCAAGUGCGGCAUUUGUCACACACGCCUUGGCCGCCCACCCAGCUGCAGAUGGUUCAGAUAUUAUACAACAACGGUGCUAAUGCAAUAUGGGAGCACACACUGCUGGAUCCCUCAUCCUUAAUGAGCGGGAAACGCAAAACCAAUCCUCAGGAUAAAGUCCAUCCCAACAAGACAGAGUUCAUAAAAGCAAAGUAUCAAAUGUUGGCUUUCGUCCAUCGUUUACCCUGUCGUGACGACGACAGUCCAGCAGCUGCAGAUCUAAGCAAGCAACUUCACUCAAGUGUUAGAACUGGCAAUCUUGAGACUUCUUUACGGUUACUGUCGCUUGGAGCUCAAGCCAACUUUUUCCACCCGGAAAAAGGAAACACACCACUUCACAUAGCAGCUAAGGCAGGACAGGUGUGCCAGGCUGAGAUACUGUGUGUUUAUGGGGCGGAUCCUGGAGCUCCGGACUCUUACGGCAAAACACCCAUCAACUAUGCAAGGCAGGCCGGCCAUCAGGACCUAGCAGACCGGCUGGUGGAGAUACAGCAUGAGCUUACAGACAGACUCGCCUUCUACCUCUGUGGGCGAAAGCCUGAUCACAAGAAUGGACAGCACUUCAUUAUACCACAGAUGGCGGACAGAAGUGUGGAGUUAUCGGAGUUUGCAAAAGCUGCGAAAAGAAAACUGCAAUCUCUCAGCGAUCAUUUGUUUGAGGAACUGGCAAUGGACGUGUACGACGAGGUGGACAGAAGAGAGACAGAUGCAGUCUGGCUGGCCACUCAGAACCACAGCGCCUUGGUAACGGAGACAACAGUUGUGCCUUUCCUUCCUGUGAACCCCGAGUACUCAUCAACACGCAACCAGGGACGACAAAAGCUUGCAAGAUUUAAUGCUCAUGAAUUUGCCACACUUGUGAUUGAUAUUCUAAGUGAUGCAAAGCGGCGUCAACAGGGGAGUUCAGUGGCAAGCCCCAAAGACAACGUCGACAACGUUUUCUUCAAAAGUCGUCACGUUAGUAGCCGUCACGGAAGCGACAGCCAAGAAAUCGACCAGCCAGACUAUGACAGCGUGGCAUCAGAUGAGGACACGGACACCGAAUUGCGAAUCGGCAAAGCAGACCGAGCUAAGAGUUUGGACUCGGACCUGUCCGAUGGGCCGAUUUCCGUGCAGGAGUUUCUGGAAGUGAAGAACGCUCUCUCAGCCUCUGAGGUCAAAAUACAGGAACUGAUGAAGGCCAACAGUAACCUGAGCGAAGAGCUGAGACUGGUGCAAAAAAAGCUGCAGUCUCUGCAAAGUGAGAACAGCUCUCUCAGACGCCAGGUCUCAUCUCAACAGCCCUAUCAGGCCCCUGGGGGUCCUGACCACCCCAAUCCUUCCAGCCCCUCCUCCUGUUCCUCCUCUUCCUCCUCCUCUGCCCUGAAAUGGCACCUGUCUGCACGGGUGAGCCGCCCCAUGUCUAUGUAUGAAACCAGCUCUGGUCUGAAGCCCUUUCUCUCCAAGGGAGAGGCCAUUUACCCUGAGGAGACCUUCCCUUCCUUGCAACCCUUCCCAACCCAUGCCUCCAAGUUUGGCAAGCAAAGUAGCGCAUCCGACGGUGACUAUGACAACACUGUCAACGAAUCUGACCUGGAUGACUCGGGAUUUGUCCGUAGAUGUCGUCUACGCAGCAGCGGUUGGAUGGGAGAGAGCAACUCCAUACCAGAGCUGGACGAUCACGAAUGUGAGUCUGACCCCAGUCUGCCCAGCACAGAAGACGUCAUCCGGAAAACCGAGCAGAUCACCAAGAAUAUCCAGGACCUGCUGAGGGCUGCACAGGAGAAUAAGUACGACAGUGCCCCGGGUGAGCAGAGGGAGAGUGUCCGCAGACUCAGACACAGUCUGGGUUGUUUCGGCACGCUGGUGCCUUGGGCAGACAAGCCCCCCUCUCCCAUGCAGUCCCUCGGCCUAAGAGCUCCCCCCAACAGCCCUGCCUCCUGGUACUCUGGCCUCUGUCCCUGCCUCACAGGCACAGUGUCUACCUCUCUCUUCAUCACUCACGCACUAAUCUACACACGGGCACAACCGUGGACUCGGAGCACUAACAUGUAACAUGCAUGUAUGUGCGCUAGAAUGUUAAACGCUCGAGGUCUGAAGCAGUUUGCAUUAGGGUCAAUUUUAAAUCGAAAUGGACCCUGUUUGGUUUUAAAGCAUGUUUCUGGACUCAUGCAAAUGAUUCGUCUGUGCAUGUGUAGUAAUUCGCUAUUCCGCUGAAAUGACGUCCUACCAGUCAUUCUCUGCUGAUGCGAGGAUAUUGUUGAUGUCGGACUGCAACUUUGUAUCUCUAAAACUGCCACUUUACAGGAAGUGAAAUAUUUCAGUAAUUUUAUUUUUUCAAUGAUUAAAGAGAUAGUUCACACAAAAAUGAAAUUUCUGUCAUCAUUUACUCACCCUCAAGUUGUUCCAAACCUGUUUAAAGUUCUUUGUUUGAUUGAACACAAAGAAAGAUAUUUGGAUGAAUGUUAGCAACUGAGAUUUCUGGGGCACCAUUGACUACCAUGUAGAAAGAAUGAAUGUAUCAUUUAUCUGUUGAACACAGAUAUUUUGAAGAAUUUAGGAAAACAGUUCUGGGGCACCUGUGACAACCAUUUUAAUGGUAGUCAAUGGUGCCACAGAAAUCUAAGUUGCUAACAAUUUUCCAGCUAUCUUUGUUUAACAAAGAAAUUUACACAGGUUUGGAACAACUCGAGGUCGAGUAAUUUAUGACAGAAUUUUCAUUUUGGGGGGAACUAUCCCUUUAAGCAAUGUGUUGCCAAAGUUGACAAGCUCUGUUUAAUACUUUUUAUUGGUUAAAUAUUUGCAAAAUCUACAUGAAGAGUGACUAAUAGUAAUGAUUUAUAAAAAAAAAUCUCAUUUGAUGCACUGUAUUAUUUGGAUAUAAUAUCACAAAACCGAUGUAACGUCCUCUUACUGUAAAUAUAUUUUGGGGCUGUAUCAAGAUAACUAACAUUUGCACGUUAUUGUUUUUCUUGUGGAGUAUUGCACAGAAGUCAUAGCUAAACUUUAAAAACUAAAAAAAAAAAGAGAAAAUAAAUGAAUCCUUCAACAAAAUGCAUUUCAGAAAAAAGAUAACAUUGAGUCAAUACAAUAUUAUGGAAGUUGUUGUUUGCUGUGAUUGUGUAAAGUUCGGCUUUAAAGCUCUCUCACCGAUUUCUUUGUAGUUAGUACGUCUUUCUCUCGCCUAACUCUGACUUACGUUUCAGAAUUUUAACAUCCGUCUGUUUGUUUUCUGCAGCUUUAUACCCUGUGCAGAAAGAAUAUAUGUGGCCGUGAAUGAGAUGGCCGGCCUGUUUCCUAAGAGGCCACGGUUUGAGACAGUAAGGAGCUCACUGCGUUUAUUGACGUCAAGCGCGCACCGU